rnacentral:miRNA from 1 species
AGGUUGGGAUCGGCCGCAAUGCU